rnacentral:misc_RNA from 1 species
AACGGUCUAUACCUGCGGUACCUGCGGAAGGAUCAUUACAGAGUUCGUGCCCUCUGGGUAGAUCUCCCACCCACUGUUUUCCUUACGACCGUUGCUUUGGCGGGCCGCCGGCCCUGCCCGGCCGCCGGCGCCCAGCUGGCGCGCGCCCGCCAGAGGCCCUCCAGACUCUGAAUGUUAGCGUCGUCUGAGUACCACAUAAUAAGUUAAAACUUUUAACAACGGAUCUCUAGAUCGGAAGAG